rnacentral:tRNA from 1 species
CGUGGGGUAGAGCAGUUGGUUAGCUCGGUGGGUUCAUAUCCCGCAGGCCGCAGGUUCGAGUCCUGCCCCCGCAA